AGUGAACGCUGGCGGUAGGCCUAACACAUGCAAGUCGAACGGCAGCACAGUAAGAGCUUGCUCUUACGGGUGGCGAGUGGCGGACGGGUGAGGAAUACAUCGGAAUCUACUUUUUCGUGGGGGAUAACGUAGGGAAACUUACGCUAAUACCGCAUACGACCUACGGGUGAAAGCAGGGGAUCUUCGGACCUUACGCGAUUGAAUGAGCCGAUGUCGGAUUAGCUAGUUGGCGGGGUAAAGGCCCACCAAGGCGACGAUCCGUAGCUGGUCUGAGAGGAUGAUCCGCCACACUGGAACUGAGACACGGUCCAGACUCUGACGGGAGGCCGCAGUGGGGAAUAUUGGACAAUGGGCGCAAGCCUGAUCCAGCCAUACCGCGUGGGUGAAGAAGGCCUUCGGGUUGUAAAGCCCUUUUGUUGGGAAAGAAAAGCAGCAGGUUAAUACCCCGCUGUUCUGACGGUACCCAAAGAAUAAGCACCGGCUAACUUCGUG
rnacentral:rRNA from 1 species